rnacentral:tRNA from 2 species
GGCCGUUUGGCUCAAUGGUAGAGCGUCCGCCUCCUAAGCGGAAGGUUGUGGGUUCGAGUCCCAUGAUGGUCG